ensembl:lncRNA
AUAGAGAAAAGGGGCAACUUCUCAAGGUCAAAGUAGCUCUGCAACCCUCUGCUACUGCCUACAUUUCUAUGGGCAGAUCGACUUACCUCAUACUUAUGCCUCUUCCUAGACUGCUGAUGGUCAUGAUGUGAAGAAUUCUUGCAUCUGCUUGGUGACUUGCUCUUUGAGUUGGCUGUACUUCCAGAACCUGCCAUAAAUCAGCACGAUGGAGCGUGCUCUCCUUGUGAAGACCAAGAUCUGGCUAGCCAAAUCCUUUGAUAAAAUCUGAGACUGCAUGGAAUCUACUGCCAUCUUUCAUCCCUAAAUGCUCAAUUUGUGUCAGAUUUGAAACAAAGAAGGCUGGGGGAGAUAAAAAAGAAUCCCAAACCAAUGACCUAAAUAAGGAAGUGAAGACAAAUAAGGAGUAAAGAGGGCAGUGUUAUUCAGAAACUUAAGUCUCCAAAACUCAUUGUAGUUCCCAAGGGCUCCUAAGAGAAGAUUAGAACUGUUACCUAGUACUCAGUGGGAACAAAUCCUGGAAUGGAAUAAUGACCUUAGAAGCUGGCUUUAUGCAAUAAGUACACCUGACUAUGCCACGGGUGCUGUGGAAAUCUCUGCACAUUUAGCUGUUCAGAUAAGAAGUAGUCAAGGAACAAGAGUAUGAGACUUUCAUGGAUAAUUCACAAACUGGACGCUCAUGCCAGGGUGCAUUAGAUGCUCCUGAGGAUGGAGUCACCUUGCAGAAGAGGUUAUAACAGCAGUUGUUGGGACCAGUUUGAUGAUGUGAGGUCAUACUCUGAAGAUGCACUGGCACAAGAAGUAAGGGCAAAGGAACUCUCCACUUUGGGCACACUGUCCUCUUCGUGUUUUGUUUUCAUUUCUCAUUCUGAAAACAUGAACACCAUUUGAUUGCAAAUAAUGCCUUUUAUUCACACAUACAUAUGUUCUGAGCAGAUUGGUUAUUUAUUUAUUUAUUUAUUUCUGCAGCUUAAGAAAGAGGAACUUACAUGUGAUCCCAAACUAGUAAAAGGAGUGAAAUGUCAUAUCUUUGUACCAUGAGAAUAAUCAUCCCAAGAAAAUAUAACUUUCCUAGAAGAAC